AUUGAACGCUGGCGGCAGGCCUAACACAUGCAAGUCGAACGAGUGGCGGACGGGUGAGUAAUGUCUGGGAAACUGCCUGAUGGAGGGGGAUAACUACUGGAAACGGUAGCUAAUACCGCAUACCAUCGGAUGUGCCCAGAUGGGAUUAGCUGGUGGGUGGGGUAACGGCUCACCUAGGCGACGACCCCUAGCUGGUCCGCGAGGAUGACCAGCCAGACUGGAACUGGGACACGGUCCAGACGCCUACGGGAGGCAGCAGUGGGGAAUUUUGCACAAGGGGCGCAAGCCUGAUGCAGCCAUGCCGCGAGUAUGAAGAAGGCCUUCGGGUUGUAAAGUACUUUCAGCGGGGAGGCGUUACCCGCAGAAGAAGCACCGGCUAACUCCGUGCCAGCAGCCGCGGUAAUUC
rnacentral:rRNA from 1 species